rnacentral:lncRNA from 1 species
UCGUUAUGUUCUGUUACAAGAGCGGGAAAAUCUGGGUCUUAUUGACAGAGGAGAGCUGACUGGUGGGGGGAUUUUCUGGGCUCUCUUAAGCGUGUAUAUAUAGACUUAAGGGAUACGGAGUCAGGCAGUGUGAUGCUUGUAAUUUCAUCUUAAAACUUGUAUCUUGUUCCUGGUGAUUGAAUAAAGAUUGUUGCUCUGUUCUUCAGUGGAUGUAAGCCAUCUCCAG